rnacentral:lncRNA from 1 species
GAUGAGGGACCGGAUUGGUUUCGAGACUAAGCUGAGGAUUGGGUGGUGUGAACGGGGGACACGAGCUAGACAGUUUAAAGCGACGUCGUUUGGGAGAGAGGGGAUUAAGAUUGUUGGCUCUUCUGAUGGUGGUUCGGCGGCGGCGGCGGCGGAGGAGGACAUGAGCGGCGGCGGAGGAGGACAUGAGCGGCGGCUGGGACCAGGAACGGGACAGUUGGUUUACGAACUUUCACUAAUCGUUAGAAGUUGGUUCAAGCAUUUUAGUUUUGUAGGUGAAUAACGUUGAAAUCUCUGUAUUUAGAUAAAACAACAAAUUAGAAUAUAGUUUGUACAAUAUUUUCAUAUGAGCCCUAAAACAAAAAUAUGUCCACAAAAGUUUAAAAGAUUUUAACAGGAUUGUAAAAAUAUUCUGUAGCAUCGCC